GGAGGUUGAUGAAACAGUAGGAGGAUAAGGGGAUGGGUAGUUGCAAAUAAUAACUCGGAUAUUCUUUCAAAAUGACAUCUGUAAGGCGAUUCUGUAAACUAGCUCUGGAAAGCAGUAAAUUAACAGCAACUGCUUACUGGAUGCUACCGUAUACUAGGCACUGUGUUAAAUGCGACGGUGUCCUUCUCAUAGCUUCAGACCACGGUCUGAUGUAGCCUUUUGCUCACAACCUUGCUUUCCUCACUGCAGAGCACACAGACACCUGCAUCGCAUCUCCUGUCCAUCACCACUCAGUUCAGUGAGUCACGUCAACUUUAUUUCUUAAGCACGUGCUGUGUGUGUUGUUGCUGUAAUAUGUGUAACCAUAUUGUAUGCGGAUGUCCUGACCAGCUGAUGGAGGGACUCAUAAGCAACAAGAAAAAGUAAUAUGCUGCUUCCUCAUUUUGGUAAAGAUAGCCAAGCCAUUUAUCCUCUGAGUUCUGGGCUGCUUUUCCUGUGAGGUUAUUCAUUCAUUCAUUUAAUCCGAAUUAAAUGAAUUAAUAAAUUCAGCAUCUUCUGUCAAUCACUGCAAGGGACUAGCAAUGUCAUGGUGAGCAAACAGAGACAAAAGGGUCAGCUUCUGGGAGCUUACAGCCUGGUGAGGGAGAGAAAAUUUAAUCAAAUAAACAGAAAUACAUUUGAAAUCUUCGCUGGGAUAACUGCUAUGGGAUUGUAAGAGCCUGUGUCAGAGACAAGGAACGGCGGUCAGAGAAGUCUUCCUUGAAAAAGCGACAACUGAGCUGAGACUGGAAGGAUGAGCAGAGUUACUAUGGAGGGAGUGGGAAAAGAAGAUUCUAGGAAGAGGGAACAGCCUUUGUUUUAGAAGGACAAGGCCAUCAAGAAAUUAAGCUGGAGUUCCUUGAAAGAUGGAAAGGAUGGUGGCUGAUGCUUCAAGAAGAAGAGGUAGCCUGACACUGGUGAGGAAGGGUCAGCUCUUCCAAGCCUGGGGUUGAGGGGUGGUGUGGUGGGUAGCUGUGGCUGGUGGACUCCUGGACCUUGAUGGAACGCAAUGCCUCAGAGGUGGCUGAACCUGUGGGCGAUGGCAGAGGGCUGCAUACUGGGCCUUGGGACCACCGAAGGUUGCAGUGAGGGGCACUGGGCCUCCCCACUCCCCGCCCCCCAGGGUCUGAAUAAAGGAAAGGAUUAACACUUAACGGCUAAUGUUACAAACACAAAAGCAAGGGAACAACAACACUUUAAUGAGAGGCAGUAUAUGUGGCGGCACGGACUUCUGUUUGGAGCCAAAGCGCUCACGUUCAAACCACAGCUCUACUAUUCAACAGCUUCCCGCCAAGGGCAAUUACUUGACCUCCCUGGGACUCGAGUUUCCCCAAGGGUAAAGUUGGGAUAACAGCAUCUAUUUUAUCAAGUGGUGGAGAAGAUUUAAAUUGGUUAAUGCACGUGAAGUUCUUAGAAGCGUCUGGCACAAAGUCAUGUCACAUACAUGUUAAGGAAAAAACAGCAGUCCAGAUGUGAGGCCCUCCUUCAAUUUUCUUGGACUCCAUAAGCCCCUGAGGGGCUGGUAUAGCCUAAACGAGAAAAAGGAGCUCUAAAGUGGGCUGAAUUUCUAGACAAACUGUGGGAAGUAGUGGAGGUUUGAGUUGGGAAAACAAAUGUUAAUGUAACAUUUUUUGCACCGAAGUUCUCAGACCACUUCCCUUUCGGAUCCAUUGGCACGCCCAUAAGCAAAUCCAUUCUAGGAAAAGUAGCGCUGGUGGUAAGCCUGAAUCAAAGAAAAAGAAAGAUGACCGAUUUUAAGGGAAAUCAGACACGUAGAGCUACGUAGGUCACCGAGUCCUAGAGGUCCUGAAACUGUUCCCUUGGAAACCCGGGUGAGGACCUCAGCACCAGCACGCAGGUCCAGUGGGCUAGCCUGGGAACCUGACGAACCAUCACUAGAAAUAGCGUUUCAGGGAAAGCUACCCCAACAUUUGAAAUGCUGUGUCCCAGCUUGCGUUAUCCAGCUGUGGGCUCCAAGAGGAAAGCUGGUAGUAAUUCACGACAUA
rnacentral:lncRNA from 1 species